rnacentral:misc_RNA from 1 species
AGAUAGGCUGUUUGUAGGAGGCUCGGAGGCGGGUUUCUCACACAAUGAGAAUGGAAUAUUACUAAAGAGCUGAAAGUUAAAGGGUAUGAAACCGCAGUGCUCAGCUGAUGUUUAAAUAAAAGUAAAUGUAGCUUUGUCGCAAUUGAUUGUGGAUUGAGUCCUUUAUGAAUAAAUCGUUUUUGAAGAUACUCUACUAAAAGACGAACAUCACAAAAAAUGAUACGAAAUAAAACUCAUUUGAAUUAUUAUUCGCACCGCUGACUUCACAGGAUAAUAGCGUGAAAGUAAAGUCGCCUCUUGCGAUUCAAAGAAAAAC